AUUGAACGCUGGCGGCAUGCCUAACACAUGCAAGUCGAACGAGUGGCGGACGGGUGAUUAAUGUCUGGGAAACUGCCUGAUGGAUGGGUAUAACUACUGGCAACGGUAGCUACUACCGCAUACCAUCAGAUGUGCCCAGAUGGGAUUAGCUAGUUGGUGGGGUAACGGCUCACCAAGGCGACGAUCCCUAGCUGGUCUGAGAGGAUGACCAGCCACACUGGAACUGAGACACGGUCCAGACUCCUACGGGAGGCAGCAGUGGGGAAUAUUGCACAAUGGGCGCAAGCCUGAUGCAGCCAUGCCGCGUGUAUGAAGAAGGCCUUCGGGUUGUAAAGUACUUUCAGCGGGGAGGCGUUACCCGCAGAAGAAGCACCGGCUAACUCCGUGCCAGCAGCCGCGGUAAUUC
rnacentral:rRNA from 1 species